UCGAUGAUGAAAAUUUUGGUCCGUGUUUAUGAUUUUUUACUGAUUAAACAUCAAUCCAAUUUCUGACCCUC